CUCACCUGGGUCACCUGACCUCCCUGAGGCUGGGAUGACCAGAAAUACUGUUGGGCAAACUAGUCUCAUGCCUAGAAUAUGAAGGCGUAGAGGAACAUAAAUCAGGGUUCACUUCACAAGUGGGCUUCCUGGAAGCUGGAGAAUGGACAAGACAACCAAGGCCAUUCCUUCUCAAACAGAAUUUUAAAAAGAGCGGACACUGGGGGUGCCUGGGUGGGGCAGUCGGUUAAAUGCCCUACUGGUGGUUUCAGCUCAGGUCCUGAUCUCAGGGUCGUGAGUUCAAGAUUGUGUUGGACUCCAUGCCAGUGCAGAGUCUGCUUAAGACUCUCUCUCUCUCUCUCCUUUUCCCCCUGCCCCACC
rnacentral:lncRNA from 1 species